UACGUAGGGUGCAAGCGUUAAUCUGAAUUACUGGGCGUAAAGCGUGCGCAGGCGGUGAUGUAAGACAGAUGUGAAAUCCCCGGGCUCAACCUGGGAGCUGCAUUUGUGACUGCAUCGCUGGAGUGCGGCAGAGGGGGAUGGAAUUCCGCGUGUAGCAGUGAAAUGCGUAGAUAUGCGGAGGAACACCGAUGGCGAAGGCAAUCCCCUGGGCCUGCACUGACGCUCAUGCACGAAAGCGUGGGGAGCAAACAGG
rnacentral:rRNA from 1 species